rnacentral:rRNA from 1 species
CACGUAGGGGCCAAGCGUUGUCCGGAUUUAUUGGGCGUAAAGAGCUCGUAGGCGGUUCGACAAGUCGGGUGUGAAACUCCGGGCUCAACCCGGAGACGCCACCCGAUACUGUCGUGACUGGAGUCCGGUAGGGGAGUGGGGAAUUCCUGGUGUAGCGGUGAAAUGCGCAGAUAUCAGGAGGAACACCGGUGGCGAAGGCGCCACUCUGGGCCGGUACUGACGCUGAGGAGCGAAAGCGUGGGUAGCAAACAGG